CCUUCGAUAGCUCAGCUGGUAGAGCGGAGGACUGUAGAGUACUACUGUAGUCAUCCUUAGGUCGCUGGUUCGAUUCCGGCUCGAAGGA
rnacentral:tRNA from 1 species